rnacentral:rRNA from 1 species
UGCCAGCCGCCGCGGUAAUACGGAGGGGGUUAGCGUUGUUCGGAAUUACUGGGCGUAAAGCGCGCGUAGGCGGAUCAGAAAGUCGGGGGUGAAAUCCCGGGGCUCAACCCCGGAACUGCCUUCGAUACUGGCGGCCUAGAGAUCUGGAGAGGCGAGUGGAAUUCCGAGUGUAGAGGUGAAAUUCGUAGAUAUUCGGAGGAACACCAGUGGCGAAGGCGGCUCACUGGCUCGAUACUGACGCUGAGGUACGAAAGUGUGGGGAGCAAACAGGAUUAGAUA